rnacentral:rRNA from 1 species
UACGUAGGGCGCAAGCGUUGUCCGGAAUUAUUGGGCGUAAAGAGCUCGUAGGCGGUCUGUUGCGUCCGCUGUGAAAACCCAGGGCUUAACCCUGGGCUUGCAGUGGAUACGGGCAGACUAGAGGCAGGUAGGGGAGAAUGGAAUUCCCGGUGUAGCGGUGAAAUGCGCAGAUAUCGGGAGGAACACCGGUGGCGAAGGCGGCUCUCUGGGACGGUACUGACGCUGAGACGCGAAAGCGUGGGGAGCGAACAGG